CUGUCCUUCAUCUUUGUCUUUUUUUGUUUAGGAAUUAAAACAAAAAGAACUGAAUAGCAGCAAACAUGUUUUUUGUUGGGGUCAACAAGUGUAGUCCACGGGUAUGUUAGAAGGUGAAGAGGAGAUAACUGCAAUCACUCAAUUUUGUCAAUGAGACGUCCAGAAUACUUACAUAACAUUACUGAUUAGGAUUUUACCCUUGU